rnacentral:snRNA from 1 species
GUACUUACUUGGCGUAGGGUAAACUGUGAUCAUAAAGGCGGUUCCCCAGGAUGAUGCUAUUGCAUUGCACUAGGUGAUAGUUGAAUUCCUGUGAAUAUCCCUAAUGUGGAUAUGUCGUACGCAUAAUUUUUGAUAGUAGUGGUUACUGCGUUCGCGCAGUUACCAU